GAUGAACGCUGGCGGCGUGCCUAAUACAUGCAAGUCGAGCGAACGGACGAGAAGCUUGCUUCUCUGAUGUUAGCGGCGGACGGGUGAGUAACACGUGGAUAACCUACCUAUAAGACUGGGAUAACUUCGGGAAACCGUAGCUAAUACCGGAUAAUAUUUUGAACCGCAUGGUUCAAAAGUGAAAGACGGUCUUGCUGUCACUUAUAGAUGGAUCCGCGCUGCAUUAGCUAGUUGGUAACGUAACGGCUUACCAAGGCAACGAUGCAUAGCCGACCUGAGAGGGUGAUCGGCCACACUGGAACUGAGACACGGUCCAGACUCCUACGGGAGGCAGCAGUAGGGAAUCUUCCGCAAUGGGCGAAAGCCUGACGGAGCAACGCCGCGUGAGUGAUGAAGGUCUUCGGAUCGUAAAACUCUGUUAUUAGGGAAGAACAUAUGUGUAAGUAACUGUGCACAUCUUGACGGUACCUAAUCAGAAAGCCACGGCUAACUACGUG
rnacentral:rRNA from 1 species